rnacentral:rRNA from 1 species
UACGUAGGGUCCGAGCGUUGUCCGGAAUUUACUGGGCGUAAAGAGCUCGUAGGUGGUUUGUUCGCGUUGUUCGUGAAAACUCACAGCUCAACUGUGGGCGUGCGGGCGAUACGGGCAGACUAGAGUACUGCAGGGGAGACGUGGAAUUCCUGGUGUAGCGGUGGAAUGCGCAGAUAUCGGGAGGAACACCAGUGGCGAAGGCGACUACCUGGCCUGUUCUUGACGCUGAGGCGCGAAAGCUAGGGAGCAACGGG